GCGGCUUACGUCAUUUCCUCCUUUUCCUUUCACCUUUUUCAAGGCUUCGCCCCUAGAGCAGUGGGACUCUGGUAUGGACCGGUUUCCUGUGAGAUCUUGCUCCGUCUCACAAGAUCCUAUGCAGGCCUGUAUCUGGAACAGCUUGUCAUCGAUCUCGCCCUCUAUCGCUCAGCGACCUAGGAGGCCCCAGGACUGCAGUCUGCUUACCUGUUUAAAAAAUUGAUUCUCACCCCUGACCACACCUCUGAGGAUUCGGACCUUCUGGAAGAUGAACAGUUCAUAUUUGACCAAGAUCACAUAAAUAGGAGUUGGGGGAUUGGAACCUACUAUGACCGACUUCAAAUUAAUGCAGUUUGUAGUCACUUAUAUAAUAAUGGUAAAGGCAUUUUUUGCUAUACAGAGUGGGUAAACUCACUGAGGGAAUAAAGCAACAUAUGACACACAUGAGGCAACAUGACAGGGAAGAUCAGCAGAGGAAACAAGUAGCAGAAAAGCAAGGAAAAUUACAUUUCCCAUUUCCAAAGUAAAUUUAAAAAGAAUGAAAAGUAGGGCCAGGGAUUUAGCUCAGUGGUGCCACCGCCUGCCUUGAAAGCCCAUGGUCUUGAGUUCGAUCCCCAGUACAAAAAAAAAUGAAAAAUAAAAGCAAAAAUUGCCUGGGAUUUAGCUCAGCGGUGCCACAUCUGCCUGGCAAGCACAAGGUCCUGAGUUCCAUUCCCAGUACCCCCCAAAAAGCAAAAAUUAAUGAAAUAGCCAAUAAAAUUGAUCAUAAUAAUAUCUGGUAUUUGAAAAGAACAAUAGACACUUUGCAAAUCCAAGGAAGUAGAGAAAAAAUAUUGGAAACAGCUGGGUGUAGUGGCCCACACCUGUAACCCCAGCACUUGUGAGGCUGAGGCAGGAGGAUCACUGUGAGUUCAAGCUCAGCUUGGGCUGGUGAGUUCAAGCCCAGACUGGACUACAUAGUGAGACCCUGUCUCAAACUCCUCCCCCACUUAGAAACAAAGGAAGCAUACUACAUAUGAGGAGACUUAGUAAAUCAAAAAUGAAUUAUGGGGCUGGGGAUUUAGCUCAGUGGUUCCACCGCCUCCUUUGCAAGACCAAGGUUCCGAGUUCAAUCCCUAGUCCAAAAAAAAAAAAAAAAUGAAUUAUGUAGCCUUUACUAAUAAUCUUGAAAAUUGACUUGAAAAAUUUCUAGAAAAAUAUAAAUUUCAAAACUUGGCUCAAGAGUUAGAAAAUCUUGAACUGAUAGACAUGAAAGCAUGUCCUAAAGUAGGGUAUCAUCAAAAGUCACCAGGAACAAAGCAUAAAGAAGGAUAGAGUGUUUCCUAACUCUACCUUUGUCAAAAUUUUAAAUAAACCUGUAAACCUGCAAGUGUCUGGUUGUAAAGGCUUCAAAAUAAUGUGCAAGGCCAGGGAUUUAGCUCAGUGGUUCCUCUGCCUGCCUUGCAAACGCAAGGACCCAAGUUCAAUCCCUGGUACCAACAAAAAGCAAAAUAAUGUGCAGAUAUAUGUAAUAUGAUAGUCAUGAUAACUUUGCAAUUUUUUAAAAUCUUGACUUCAUUAGUAAAAGGAUUGCUAAGUAAGAUUACAUUUACAAUACAAAAUAUUACAUACUGGUAGAAAUACAAUUCUGCAGGCAUUAAUAUGGAAAAAUUAAAAAAGAGUAUAGACAGUGAAAAUUAUACAAGAUACUACAUAUGUGACUUAAUUUUUAACAAUUAUCUUGUAAAAGAAUAAGUUUGGAGAGGAUCUAUACCAAAUUGUUAACUGUUGGUUAUAGAGCGAGAGGAUGUGAAAGAUGUUUUUUAUAUUUGUAUUGUUUAUUUUUUUAUUUUUCUUUAAUUUUUACUAAGUAAAAAUGUAGAAAGAAACAUGUACCAUCAUGCAAAAGAAAGUAUUUUCAAAGAAUAAGGGAUUAGGAAAGAUUAAAAGACUAAAACACAUUGAUUUGGGCAAAGGCAUUGAUGUACUCAGGAGAACAACUUUAAUAAAAUGGUCAAGAUGGAAAAAUCAGAUUGCACAGGAUUUCAAGGUAAGUGACUGACUGUAAAAGAAGGUUUUCAGUUGAGAGAAAGUGCAGAAUUCCAGAUAAUAGGAACCGUUUGUGAGUAGGAGAUGGUUUCAAUUAGUAAAAAUGGCUAGUCCUCCCCCCGCUUCAGUUUUUCAAAACUGAGGUGAUAAUUUUUUCCAACAGUCUCAUUGUUGCCAAGGCUGCCCUCAAACUGCCUCUCAAGUAGCUAAAACUGCAGGUGCACACCACCCCAUGUAUUUUCUCUUCCUUCCAAGGCAUUCUUGCUGUCUUCAGUGCCUACCUCCAAAUCCUGGGGCAGCACAUGGAUAGUUUUGUUUCAUAUUUAGCUCAUUCUUUUUCAGUUGCCCAACAAAGUGCUCAUUUCCAGAGAGCUGACUAUAUUUAGGAUUAGGGGAGAAAUUCCAGCUUCACAUAAGUUCAGUCCUUUCUUUUUUUUUUUUUUGGAUACUGGGGAUUGAACUCAGGACCUUGUGCUUGUGAGGCAGGUGCUGAAACCACUGAGCUAAAUCCCUGGCCCAGUCCUUUCUUGACAGUAACCUUUUGAUUUUCUGUUCCUACUCCCAGUUUGCCUCCUUGGUCAGCUACAUGUUUCCACUUCUUUUUUUUUCUUUUUUUUUGGUAUCAGGGAUUUUGAACUCGGGUCCUUGUGCUUGCGAGGCAGGCAGCAGAACCACUGAGCUAAAUCCCCGGCUCCCCUUCAGGCAUUUUUAGAUGCCUUCUUAGGAUUUUCCUGAAUAUUCUUUAUAAAUCUCUUUUAUGGCACUUUUUUGAUACUGAGAAAAACAUAACUAGAAUGUAGAAUUCUCUUAUUUUAGGGUGAGGUGUUACAUGAGGUUUUUUUUCAGUAUAUAUUGCCUUUUCUUCCCAAAGCAUUAUUUUUAACUGAAUUACAGUGAGAUUGCUUUGUAUUUUCCAGAUCAAAGUUGGAAGUUUUAAAUAGAAAAAUUACAUAAGUCCAGGACAUAGCAAAGUAAAUAUAAACUUAACAAAAUCCCUGUGUUCCUUAGUCUCAUCAACAUCACCUCCUAAUUCAAAAGAUAAUGCUCCAUCUUCUUUGAGGCUUCCUUUAGCCUUCCUUGCUGCACUUUCCAGCACCAAUUACUAGGUUCUAGCUCCCGGUGCUACAUACUUUUACUUUUCUGUCUCUUUUGGAGGCUAAAAUCUAAUGUUGAUUUGUAGAUUGUUUACCAUACCUGUCACUAGAAUUGACUCUGGAGCAUCUUUCUGUGGAGCUUAAAAUAUUUGAGAUUGUUUUGAAGGAGAAUCAACUAAAAGACCCUCUAGAGAUGAGAAAUCUUAUGGGUUUUGUUUUUUGGGGGUUUUUUUUUGGUACCGGGGAUCAAACUUGGGUCCUUGUGCUUGUGCAGCAGGUGGCGAAACCACUGAGCUAAAUCCCCAGCCCCUUAUGGUUUUAAUUCAUAGCUAAAUUCAGGCAGGUGUAGAUCACUAACUCACAUCUAACUUUCUACCUCAAAGUAGUUAAACUGUCUUAAUUCCAAAUGGAACUACAGACGACCCUCAGAAAAAGCACUGUCCUUGCAUUCCAAAGCUAAUUCUCAUGUUCUUCAUAUCUCAUUCCAGCUGUGAGACUGAGUACCACCCCUAUUAUCAAUCUAUCUCUUCAAGGUCCUUCAAUCCCUUGGUUAAAUUUCCUAAGAGUAACUCAUGCUGUUUAAUUACUUCUCAUCCACAAUACCCAUUGCACCCAUACUAAACUGUUCUUAGGUCAUUAGGGACUAUUUCUUAAGCUUACCAUAUAUUUUUACUUUGUUGACUAUCCCCCCCCUUCUUUUUUCAUUCACCUUUAGGUCUUUGACAUCUUUCUGCAGGCCUUUUAUUCCCCAGGGACUGUCCUUGACCCACUAUUCUCUGCAUACCUUUGGUACAUUUGUAGGCAUUUAGUAAAAGCUAUGCGUGGUCUCCCCAGAAAAAUGUCCAACAGGAAAUUUUGCCUAUUGGAUUCAUAGAUCCUGUUUUAGUGCAGUGUUCAUUGGUAAAGAUUUACCAAUUUUAUUACUAGGCGCCUUUCUCCAACAUUUGAUAAUCUCUUUAAAAGUUUUCAUUUUAUUCUUGGGAAAAACUUUUUUGGUUUUUUGUUUUUGGUACCGGAGAUUGAACUCGGGUCCUUGUGCUUGGGCAGCAAGCAGCAGAACCACUGAGCUAAAUCCCCGGCCUCUGCUUGUUUUUUUGACACGGUUUCACUGUGUAGCCCAGGCUGGCCUUCUACUGGUAGUGAUUCUCCUGCCUCAGCCUCCCAAGUGCUGGGAUUAUAGGUGUGAGCCCCACACCCAGCAAAAAAAACCCUCAAAUGCAGAAAAGAAUGUCCACUUUUGUUUAAAAUGUUUAGUGGCAGUUCUGAUCUUCAGUAUAAUACAAAUUACUUGACAAUGCCAAAACAGUUCAUAACCUAUUCAAAAUUCCAGCUGUGCAAAAUCAAUUUUUAAAAACAUUAACUGUUUCAGACCUUUCCAUUUCCUGUUAAUUCUCCAAAGAUACCCGUCUAUCACUGUGGUCCACUCCUAGUUAUGCUCCAUACUCAAGUAUCACACCUCUGUAAGUCUUUAAUCCACCACUAGGUAGUUUGGUAUGCCUCUAUCUUGCCUUUUAUCUUGAGAUCUUAAGAUAAAGCCAGGUUGUACAACUUCUACAUUUUAUCAUGAACCGGAGAUACCAUGUACCAUCUGUUAAGUACCAGGGAAAAUACACAAGGAAAGCCUGCUGGUGUCUGGCACAUAGUGAGUGUCCAAUAAACUAGUCUGCCUCCUCCAAUAAAUGAUGGAAAAGUUAAUCUCACUCAGAGUGCCUGGCUAUACGAUAACAAGUACCAUACUCAACGUUUGUAAAAGGUGAAGGAAAGAAAAGAAAAAGUCACAUUCCAAAGUCAUUCAAGAAAUAGACAUACAAACUAGAAGUUUCUUCAUCAUUCUAUUUAUUACAUGUAUGAAUAUUAACAUCUCAUGGUAUCCAUCUAAUCAAAUCAAAACCAAC
ensembl:lncRNA